AAAGCUUCCUACUUUUUUAUUGUGACUAAUCAGUCAUCACUCUUCACCUCAUCGAUUCCAUCUUAUUUAUAAAUUGUAACAUGCCCACAAAAUUCUAAUCAGCCUUUCAUUUUUCUCUCUUUCGCUCACAAAAUAUCUCUUCAGAUAAGAUUUCAUCAGUUGAGGAUUGGUAUACCAGAGAUGGCAUCGAUGCAAACUAGCUUGGCAUCAGCUGUAUGCAACAACAGAAACGGCUCAACUUCUUCGAAGUUCCUCAGCAGCUCAUUCCUGCACGGAACGAACACUAUUGGACAGGUCGCAAGCAUAAGAAGAAAGGAAGUCUCCCCUGCUUUCUUUUCAGGCCCCAAAGCUACACUAACUUUUGAUCCCUCGACUACCAACCAAGAAAAGGUUAAGACGCGUAGUAGGCACACAGUUGAUCCGAAUGCCCCUGACUUCCUCCCACUUCCAUCGUUCGAGGAUUGCUUCCCUAAAAGCACCAAAGAAUACACGGAAGUCAUCCACGAGCAGUCGGGGACUGUGCUGCACGUUCCAUUUAGGCGCGUCCACCUUUCAGGCGAUGAACCCCAUUUCAACACCUAUGACACCAGCGGUCCACAGAACAUCAGCCCGCGAAUUGGGCUCCCGAAGGUGAGGAAGGAGUGGAUAGACCGAAGAGAAAAGCUUGGGGCACCGCGGUAUACACAGAUGUACUAUGCUAAGCAGGGAAUCAUAACUGAGGAGAUGGUUUUCUGUGCUGCUCGUGAGAGGCUCGACCCAGAGUUUGUUCGAUCCGAGGUUGCACGUGGCCGUGCAAUCAUCCCCUCAAACAAGAAGCACCUCGAGUUGGAGCCUAUGAUAGUGGGGCGGAACUUCUUGGUGAAGGUGAAUGCAAACAUCGGCAACUCUGCUGUCGUGAGCUCGAUCGAGGAAGAAGUCCACAAGCUUCAGUGGGCGACAAUGUGGGGCGCUGACACAAUCAUGGACCUCUCAACAGGGCGCCACAUACACGAAACCCGUGAGUGGAUCCUGCGCAACUCUGCUGUGCCCGUUGGUACUGUGCCUAUCUACCAAGCGCUGGAGAAGGUGGACGGGAUUGCUGAGAAUCUCACUUGGGAAGUGUUUAGAGAGACAUUGAUUGAGCAGGCUGAGCAGGGUGUGGAUUACUUCACCAUCCAUGCUGGCGUCCUGCUCCGAUACAUCCCACUGACAGCUAAGCGGAUGACGGGCAUUGUCUCUCGUGGCGGAUCCAUCCACGCCAAGUGGUGCCUGGCUUAUCACAGGGAGAACUUUGCAUAUGAACACUGGGAUGAUAUACUAGACAUCUGUAACCAGUACGACAUCGCCUUGUCAAUUGGUGAUGGAUUGAGGCCCGGAUCAAUUUAUGACGCCAAUGAUUCUGCUCAGUUUGCCGAGCUCUUGACUCAAGGCGAAUUGACGCGUAGAGCUUGGGAGAAGGAUGUGCAGGUGAUGAAUGAAGGGCCGGGACACAUUCCGAUGCACAAGAUCCCGGAGAAUAUGCAGAAGCAGUUGGAAUGGUGUAAUGAAGCACCAUUCUACACUCUUGGCCCUUUGACAACUGAUAUCGCUCCUGGUUACGAUCACAUCACCUCAGCCAUCGGAGCAGCCAACAUCGGUGCUCUUGGCACCGCGCUCCUCUGCUACGUGACCCCAAAAGAGCAUCUCGGAUUGCCUAAUCGCGACGAUGUGAAAGCCGGAGUCAUUGCUUACAAAAUAGCUGCACACGCAGCUGAUCUGGCGAAGCAGCACCCUCACGCUCAAGCCUGGGACGAUGCGCUCAGCAAGGCGAGGUUCGAGUUCCGGUGGAUGGAUCAGUUUGCUCUAUCGCUGGACCCGACCACUGCCUUGUCGUUCCAUGACGAAACACUGCCUUCUGAUGGUGCCAAAGUGGCACACUUCUGCUCAAUGUGCGGGCCUAAGUUCUGCUCGAUGAAGAUCACCGAAGAUGUCAGGAAAUAUGCAGAGGAGCACGGAUAUGGGGAUGCAGAGGAGGCCGUCCUGCACGGUAUGGAAGCCAUGAGUGCCGAGUUCUUAGCUGCCAAGAAAACCGUGAGCGGAGAGCAACACGGUGAGGUUGGAGGUGAAAUUUACUUGCCGGUGGAAUAUGUAAAAUCUAAGACAGGUUAAAGGGACGAAGAUUUACGUAAUAAACGAGGCAGGAUCUAGAGCCGGACUGUGGAGCUAUGUUGCAUUGUUUAGCUGAGUCAAGAAUGAUGUGGUUUGAGAAACCUCUUGAUGCAUUAGUCACGGCCUCAACGGCCAUGGCUGGGACCUGAUCAGGCUGAGAAAGUCCCUUUGAACCUGAACAGGAUAAUGCCUGCGUAGGGAGUGUGCCUUUUUUUGUGUGUUUGUGUGGUUACACAGAUAUGAAGAUCGACUCCCGGGUUCGGACCACACGCUCUUCCACCAGGUUCUUGUGUUAUGUCUCGUGUUUGAACGAUCAUCGAUCGACCCAAUUAAGUGAUCUACUAAGUUUAUAUAAA